CCUACGGGAGGCAGCAGUGGGGAAUAUUGGACAAUGGGGGGAACCCUGAUCCAGCCAUGCCGCGUGUGUGAAGAAGGCCCUCGGGUUGUAAAGCACUUUCAGUGAGGAAGAACGCCUGGUGGUUAAUACCCAUCAGGAAAGACAUCACUCACAGAAGAAGCACCGGCUAACUCCGUGCCAGCAGCCGCGGUAAUACGGAGGGUGCGAGCGUUAAUCGGAAUUACUGGGCGUAAAGCGCGCGUAGGUGGCUUGAUAAGCCGGUUGUGAAAGCCCCGGGCUCAACCUGGGAACGGCAUCCGGAACUGUCUAGCUAGAGUGCAGGAGAGGAAGGUAGAAUUCCCGGUGUAGCGGUGAAAUGCGUAGAGAUCGGGAGGAAUACCAGUGGCGAAGGCGGCCUUCUGGACUGACACUGACACUGAGGUGCGAAAGCGUGGGUAGCAAACAGGAUUAGAUACCCCUGUAGUU
rnacentral:rRNA from 1 species